GUAAGUUUUCCGGCCCAAUGAGAAGGAGUCUGUCCCUCUAACCCUAGCUGCAGUGAAGAAACGAAGUUCGUCUUCUUCUACGUGCAAUGGCCAGACUGUGACUUUUGCGAUUCUUCUCACGACCUGAAACAGUUUGAUUAAUGGCUUUGUGUUUAAUCCCAUUGAUUCACACCUCCACGAUGUGUCUACAAAGCGUUGUUUGGAUCUGGAAGUCGGUGUGGUUUUGGUAUAAAUAUAUAUCUGGCUUUUGGAAGGUCUGUAUGCGAACAAGAGGUGAGCUCACCAAUCUUGGACAAUAAGAGAACGAAGAAAAAGCGUUUCCACCGCCACACACCUCACCAGCCCCAAUGGCUUGAAUCAUAUUCUCUAUUCUUCUCUACUCAGUUGUUUUCUCCAUCUCUUUCUUUAUGUUCUCUUAUGGUUUUGUUUACAGAGCGUAUCAGCAUCCAGAUGAGCAACUUAGCAUAUAAUUGAGUUUAGCUCCAAGACAGAUCAAGAUUUGGUUUCAGAACCAAAGAACACAGACGAAGCCACAACUCAAGAGAGCUGAUAAUUGUGCACUCAAGGAAGAGAAUUAUAGGAUUCGUUAUGAAAACGAUGCCAUUAGAGAAGCUCUCAAAUACGCCACCAAAACUCUUACUUUGAUGAACAGAAGAUUUGAAUCGAAAAUGCUUAGAGAAGAGUGAUGUGAACAUGAUUUUCAGUUGGAUAAUAGCCAUCACAGCAGAGAUCAAGAUGGGACGCAAGUUAAGAAAGACAACAACGGAUGCGGUGGCGGAAAUUCUUGUGGUGCCGUGUUCACGCGGUGGUUUGUGGCGAGGUGAGGAGACAAGAGGGAUGAGAAGGGAGAUUGAGCAUGUUGUCUAGAAGUAGAUUACUGUUAUCCGCACUAUCAGAAGUUCUCUGACAAUGUAAACCAGUACUGAUUUUGACUUUUCAAGGGUAUCUACAGGAGCAUCACUUCAUCUUUCUACUUGCUCUGCUAGCCAUCUUUCAAUUCCUUGAAGCACGUAAACAUCAACUCCAAGAGUGAAGAUAGCUUUUACAUUCUUUUGAAAAUAAGGUAGAAAGAUGAUGAUCAAAUUUUUAGUAUGCUAUUAGAAGUUAUAUUAUUAUUGUUUUUCUUUAUGAAUUUAGUUUGAUACAUUGCUUAUUAGAUUCUGGUUGUUAUAUAUUAUUUAUAAGUUCGUCUC